rnacentral:lncRNA from 10 species
AGUUACACUCUGUUGAUUCAAAAGAAGGUUGUUUGUCCAAGCUUGUCCAAGUCAGUUUCAAGAGGCUCAGCCACCAAAAGUUUCAUCAAAGAGGAAGCCAAGGUCAUCAGUAAAGCCUCACGAGAGCUACCUGGAACGGGCAGGAAAGAAAAAUGCAGAUAAGAAAAUUAAAACCACAGACUCCUGGGCAGCGAACAAGAGCCUUCUGAUCCUAAUUCGAUCUGGAGUUAAGAAUGAAGGGGAUUUCUGUAGCAGUUUCUUUUGCAUAGCAGAGCUCCGACUUUUCCAGCAACAGCGUGUCCCUGGAAGCUACACAAAGUCCUCUUUGAUUGCCUGUGAUCAAAGCCACGAAGGCUCUCCUGCAACAUCUUAGCUUCAGAAAGCCAGGAAAAUCAGAAUGCUGAGAGUAUAUUAAUAAUUCCUAAACAUAUUUUUAAGGUUCUUCAGGCCUGUCUCAGAGCUAUGGAGGAUGCAGCAAAAGGGAUGCCUUUGAUCUGCUGUCUCUGGAUGCACAAGGAGCUCAGAGAAACAACCAGGACACAGAACAAAACAAAGCAUGGAGCUCUAAUUUAGGGGUUUCAGCUAAGCGAGUCACUCAGCACCAGCACUGCACAGGAGUUCUUACAGCUUCCUUUAUGAGAAAGAUUUGUUCUUCUGUUUAUAGGGUAUCAGAGCCAGGAGGGUGGCUGACUCUGAUGAUAGAACAAGAGCCAAAUAUGCUCCUGAUGCUCCAGUAGAGUGGUCUUCAGGUGAUCGAGAUUCCGAGCUCCCAAACCAAGGCAAGAAUAAGGAAACUGGAACAGGAGGGCAUGCUGGGCUCCAGCCUCCCGUGACAGUGAAACAUUGCCUUAGAAUGACUGUUGUUAAUACAAUUGAGGAAAUAUAACACGUAAUCUUGUGAUUAAGUUAUACACAAUUUGAUUUAAAUUUAGUUCCUGGCAGUUGCUAGGUUUCACUCUGGCAUACUCUCUCAGUGUGGAAGCUGCUGAUUCAGAAAGAGAUGUUCCAAAGCUCAUGUAUUUCCUGGACACAUCCAAGUACUGAAUAAAAUGCUGGUUAAAUAAAUGAGUUAAUUUUCCAAGAAAGACACCAA